rnacentral:rRNA from 1 species
GACGAACGCUGGCGGCGUGCUUAACACAUGCAAGUCGAACGGAAAGGCCCUGCUUGCAGGGUACUCGAGUGGCGAACGGGUGAGUAACACGUGCGUGAUCUGCCCUGCACUUCGGGAUAAGCCUGGGAAACUGGGUCUAAUACCGGAUAGGUGCCAUUUUUAGUGUGAUGGUUUGAAAGUUUUUUCGGUGUAUGAUGAGCUCGCGGCCUAUCAGCUUGUUUGUGGGGUAAUGGCCUACCAAGGCGGCGACGGGUAGCCGGCCUGAGAGGGUGGACGGCCACAUUGGGACUGAGAUACGGCGCAGACUCGUACGGGAGGCAGCAGUGGGGAAUAUUGCACAAUGAGCGCAAGCCUGAUGCAGCGACGCCGCGUGGGGGAUGACGGCCUUCGGGUUGUAAACUCCUUUCGCUAGGGACGAAGCUUUUUGUGACGGUAACUAGAUAAGAAGCACCGGCUAACUACGUG